rnacentral:rRNA from 1 species
UUACCAGACUCCUACGGGAGGCAGCAGUGGGGAAUAUUGCACAAUGGGGGAAACCCUGAUGCAGCGACGCCGCGUGAAGGAAGAAGUAUUUCGGUAUGUAAACUUCUAUCAGCAGGGAAGAAAAUGACGGUACCUGACUAAGAAGCCCCGGCUAACUACGUGCCAGCAGCCGCGGUAAUACGUAGGGGGCAAGCGUUAUCCGGAUUUACUGGGUGUAAAGGGAGCGUAGGCGGUUUAGCAAGUCAGAAGUGAAAGCCCGGGGCUCAACUCCGGGACUGCUUUUGAAACUGUUGAACUAGGUUGCAGGAGAAGUAAGUGGAAUUCCUAGCGUAGCGGUGAAAUGCGUAGAUAUUAGGAGGAACACCAGUGGCGAAGGCGGCUUGCUGGACUGUAACUGACGUUGAGGCUCGAAAGCGUGGGGAGCAAACAGGAUUAGAUACCCUUGUACG